rnacentral:rRNA from 1 species
UACGACUACAUAUCAGGCAUAUCAAUAAGCGGAGGAAAAGAAACUAACAAGGAUUCCCUUAGUAACGGCGAGUGAAGCGGGAAGAGCUCAAAUUUGAAAUCUUCAAGGUUUUACCUUGACGAAUUGUAGUUUAAAGAAGUGUUUUCUGUUGAAGUUUCGGUAAAAGUUCUUUGGAAUAGGACAUCGAUAGAGGGUGAGAAUCCCGUAUUUGACCGUUAUUUUCAGCUGUGUGAUACACUUUCAAAGAGUCGGAUUGUUUGGGAAUGCAGUCCAAAAUGGGUGGUAAAUUUCAUCUAAAGCUAAAUAUUGGCGAGAGACCGAUAGCGAACAAGUACCGUGAGGGAAAGAUGAAAAGAACUUUGAAAAGAGAGUUAAACAGUACGUGAAAUUGUCAAAAGGGAAGCGUUUGACACCAGUGUUGUUUUCUCGAAAAUCAAUUAAAAAUAAAUUUGAUUUUGUGUUGUAUUGACCUUAAAAGCUUUCUUCACUUUUUUCAUGUUUAUUUUUAAUGCACUUUUCGUUUAACAAGUCAACAUCAGUUUCUUUUGUUGUAAAAAGGUCAUUGGAAGGUGGCUUUCUUUUCGGAGAAAGUGUUUAUAGCCUUUGACUCCUGCAAUCGGAGAGACUGAGGUCUGCAGCGUAGAUCCUUUUGGAUUAGAUUCAUUUGUGCUAAGUUAUAGCUUUUUAUAGACAACAUGUUGACUAUAGUUUAGUCAUUGUAGCUUACUCGCUUAUGUAAUUUUACCUACGCUUAGGAUGUUGAACGCGCACAGAGUCUC